rnacentral:lncRNA from 1 species
GCAGAAUGUGAACGAAAUUAUUUUACGAACAUAAAUACAUAAAAAAAGAACCUUUAUAAAUGUAUUUUCACCGUGUUUAAUGAAAUCUUGAAUACCAUAUGAUAAUGUCGAUCGUGGCAGUAUUCGUCGUCAUUUCACGUUCUACAAUGACUAAGCAAA